UUGACCUCAAAUCAGGUAGGACUACCCGCUGAACUUAAGCAUAUCAAUAAGCGGAGGAAAAGAAACUAACAAGGAUUCCCCUAGUAACUGCGAGUGAAGCGGGAAAAGCUCAAAUUUAAAAUCUGGCGGUCUCUGGCCGUCCGAGUUGUAAUCUAGAGAAGUGUUAUCCGCGCUGGACCGUGUACAAGUCUCCUGGAAUGGAGCGUCAUAGAGGGUGAGAAUCCCGUCUUUGACACSGACUGCCARGGCUUUGUGAUGCGCUCUCCAAGAGUCGAGUUGUUGGGGAAUGCAGCUCAAAAUGGGUGGGUAAAUUCCAUCUAAAGCU
rnacentral:rRNA from 1 species